rnacentral:lncRNA from 15 species
UAUUAAUGUAAAUGUUCACAGUUAUCUUGCAGUGUGUAUAACCUGUUCUGUGACUUUGUGCAGUGUAAUGGGCGUUGGUCUGAGCAGUAAAGAGGGAGGUAUCUGACUGUAGACUGAACACUGCCUCAGACUAAAGGAAACUAGUUUAUCUUCGGAUUCAGAGGAACGAGUCAAAGGUAGAAAUGUGGCUGGAUUUUAAACUUCUCUGGUUUCCAAUCUUCAAAGAUACUGAAACUGAGAGAUAGAUAAAGAAAUACUCACGCUGCAGGACCCUCAGCUGGACAGCUGGUGUAAACACCAUGGAAGACGAGAAACAGCGGUCUUUACUGACCCAGAGAGUGGAAACGAUGGCGUCUGUGAUAGAGCUGCUUUUGGAAACACUGAAAGAUUUGAGUGACGAGGAGUUUGAGGAGUUCAAGAAGGUCCUGAAUCAAUUUCCAUUCCUCAGUCCUGACUUAUUAAUGUUUGUGACAACAGACAUGCAAUCAUUGCUGCUGAAAAUAACAGACCUGCAGGACACAGUGUUUUCAAUGGUGCAGACUUUUGGCCAGAAGUCUGUGGAGAAGACCAAAGAGGUUUUAAAGAAGAUGAAGAGGACUGACCUGGUGCAGAGGUUGUCUGACAGCAGCUCAGGAGCCAAAAGUAAGACAAUAAAUAAAAGUUAAAAUAAAGUUUAUGUCUUCUUUUCUUUACAGGAUAAAU